UGUAGAGAGAUAGAGGGAGGGAGGGAAGGAGACGGGAGGCAUGGACGGAGUUAUUCUUUCAUGGCUCUUGUCAUUUUUCCUCGAAAUCGCUCUGGUCGGCAUUAUCGUCUACCAGCUCAUGUGUUUAGCUGACCUAGAGUUUGAUUACAUCAACCCGUAUGAUUCAACUAGACGGAUAAACAGCGUGGUUUUCCCAGAGUUUUUCACACAAGGAAUCCUUUCCUUCCUCUUUCUCGUAACAGGGCACUGGUUUAUGUUUCUGUUGUGUGUUCCAUACCUUUACUAUAAUGUGAGAAUGUACAUGCAGAGGCAGCAUUUGGUAGACAUUACUGAGAUCUUCAAUAUGCUCAACUGGGAAAAGAAGCAGCGGCUUGUCAAGCUGGCCUACCUUGUUAUCUUCCUCUUCCUCACUAUAUUCUGGUUGAUUUAUAGUGUAUUGGAGGAUGAUGAGUGAUCUAGCAUUGUUGCGUCGGUGUUUCAUUGUCCUUGAGAAUGUUUCCACUGUUUCCAGGUCUCUCCCCAGCUGACAUCGAUGAUGCAUCAAGUAGGUGUCUUUACCUUGGCCUGAUUGUGCAGUAUUUGUGAUGGUCCUAUAUUGCUGUACUCUAGUGAUUUAUUUCAUUAGUUUCAUUAUCCAA